CAUAGGUUAAUGAGGCGAACCGGGGGAACUGAAACAUCUAAGUACCCCGAGGAAAAGAAAUCAACCGAGAUUCCCCCAGUAGCGGCGAGCGAACGGGGAGGAGCCCAGAGCCUGAAUCAGUGUGUGUGUUAGUGGAAGCGUCUGGAAAGGCGCGCGAUACAGGGUGACAGCCCCGUACACAAAAAUGCACAUGCUGUGAGCUCGAUGAGUAGGGCGGGACACGUGGUAUCCUGUCUGAAUAUGGGGGGACCAUCCUCCAAGGCUAAAUACUCCUGACUGACCGAUAGUGAACCAGUACCGUGAGGGAAAGGCGAAAAGAACCCCGGCGAGGGGAGUGAAAAAGAACCUGAAACCGUGUACGUACAAGCAGUGGGAGCCUCUUUAUGGGGUGACUGCGUACCUUUUGUAUAAUGGGUCAGCGACUUAUAUUCUGUAGCAAGGUUAACCGAAUAGGGGAGCCGAAGGGAAACCGAGUCUUAACUGGGCGUUAAGUUGCAGGGUAUAGACCCGAAACCCGGUGAUCUAGCCAUGGGCAGGUUGAAGGUUGGGUAACACUAACUGGAGGACCGAACCGACUAAUGUUGAAAAAUUAGCGGAUGACUUGUGGCUGGGGGUGAAAGGCCAAUCAAACCGGGAGAUAGCUGGUUCUCCCCGAAAGCUAUUUAGGUAGCGCCUCGUGAAUUCAUCUCCGGGGGUAGAGCACUGUUUCGGCAAGGGGGUCAUCCCGACUUACCAACCCGAUGCAAACUGCGAAUACCGGAGAAUGUUAUCACGGGAGACACACGGCGGGUGCUAACGUCCGUCGUGAAGAGGGAAACAACCCAGACCGCCAGCUAAGGUCCCAAAGUCAUGGUUAAGUGGGAAACGAUGUGGGAAGGCCCAGACAGCCAGGAUGUUGGCUUAGAAGCAGCCAUCAUUUAAAGAAAGCGUAAUAGCUCACUGGUCGAGUCGGCCUGCGCGGAAGAUGUAACGGGGCUAAACCAUGCACCGAAGCUGCGGCAGCGACACUAUGUGUUGUUGGGUAGGGGAGCGUUCUGUAAGCCUGCGAAGGUGUACUGUGAGGUAUGCUGGAGGUAUCAGAAGUGCGAAUGCUGACAUAAGUAACGAUAAAGCGGGUGAAAAGCCCGCUCGCCGGAAGACCAAG
rnacentral:rRNA from 1 species